rnacentral:snRNA from 1 species
ACUGUGACGAUAGCAAGUGCCGU